UUUUGUCUCUUUCAGGGUAAUAAAGUAUCCCCUAGUCACAUAGGGGAUACUUUUAUAUUGCCAGCAUUGCCUUUCUCAGAUGAUUUAAUCUUAUUGCAGACAAUUGGGCAAAUUAAUAGAGUGAGUUGUACAUAUGUGGGAUGGAUAAUGGGAUAAAAAGUAAAUGUACAGCCUUGGGUACAUGGUGGGAUUAUAAUUAAUUUAAUGUAUUUGGCACCUGAGGGCAGAUUCUACACUGCCCCCUUUGGGAACCAGGAUAAUUAACCAAGAAGUAGUUGAUGUUUUAAAAGCAGCUGAUGGAAGUAGGAGCAGGAUAGCCAGGAUGGACUUUGUUUUAUUCUUCCAAAGGGUAUAACUAAACCCUGAUGAUCAAAAUUUAUGACCAGCAGGCAAAAGAAUAUAAUGCUGAGUAUGGAUGGGGAAAAUACAUUACCCUGACCUGUAUUUCUGGCAUCUUAUCUUCACUCUGGCUUCCUGACUGUUGGAGCUAAUGUAUUUGGCUGUGAGCACAUGAGAUUUUCCUCCUCUCCUACCAGAACCAAGAAACAGUUUGGAAUAUUUGCAUUGCCAAUUCAAACCUGCUGUCAGGAGCCCUGUAUCAAAGUUUCAUCCCUUUUCUUUUUUUUUUUUUUUUCUGGAGGAGGUGGGAUUUGAGGUAAGCAGAGAGAGUUAACAAGUCCAUUUGGAAGCAUACUUUAAUCAUAUCUUCCAAUCUAAAAUAUACCAAUAAUACAAUGUUUCCAAACAAUAAUUAUCAUUCCAUUGAUUUCAUUCCCUAUAUAACUCUCAACUGGUUUUGAAUUUGUGUAAGAGGAGCAAUACUAUAGAUCAACAAUAUAAAGCACACACACACACACACACCCUGAGGUUUGUUUAUCCACUGUCCCUUUAACUCAUUUAAAUACAAAAUCAAUUAAGCAUUAUUUGCACAUUUUUCUGAAUAAUUAAGAAGUGCUUCAGGUUUAUGAUAUUCAAAAUUAACUAUCUUCAUCCCCCCCCCACUCAACUCCCUGUAGAACAAAGAUAUUCAUAUUUCAUUCAUAGUUUCUCCUAUCACAUUAAAUGCUAUCCAGGUCCAUUCAGAAUUUCAAUUUCAAACCUUCAAGUCGUUCUUUGCUUUGUUACCUGCCCUCAAGACCCACCACCCCUGUUAUACAACUAAUCCAUGCUCAGAUUCUGUAAAUUCACUUCAAACUACCAUCAUGUCUGUCUUGAAAAGACUAUAACAAACACCUGUCAAAUCUCUAAUAAUUAUUGUUUUGCUCCAAACAAUCUUACACGCUAGGCU
rnacentral:lncRNA from 1 species